rnacentral:tRNA from 2 species
GCGGACGUGGCGGAAUUGGCAUACGCGAUAGCCUUAGGAGCUAUUGGGGCAACCCUUGGGGGUUCAAAUCCCUUCGUCCGCA